rnacentral:rRNA from 1 species
CCUACGGGAGGCAGCAGUGAGGAAUAUUGGUCAAUGGACGAGAGUCUGAACCAGCCAAGUAGCGUGAAGGAUGACUGCCCUAUGGGUUGUAAACUUCUUUUAUAUGGGAAUAAAAUGUUCCACGUGUGGGAUUUUGUAUGUACCAUAUGAAUAAGGAUCGGCUAACUCCGUGCCAGCAGCCGCGGUAAUACGGAGGAUCCGAGCGUUAUCCGGAUUUAUUGGGUUUAAAGGGAGCGUAGGUGGAUUGUUAAGUCAGUUGUGAAAGUUUGCGGCUCAACCGUAAAAUUGCAGUUGAAACUGGCAGUCGUGAGUACAGUAGAGGUGUGCGGAAUUCGUGGUGUAGCGGUGAAAUGCUUAGAUAUCACGAAGAACUCCGAUUGCGAAGGCAGCUCACUGGACUGCAACUGACACUGAGGCUCGAAAGUGUGGGUAUCAAACAGGAUUAGAUACCCCAGUAGUC